CGAGCGCAGAGGGACUACUCAUUCCUUGAAAAUGAUCAGGAGGAUUCUUUAGGGGAUGAAAUAUUUGGAUGAAAGGAGGUAGAGGGGAUAGAGUGAGCGAGGCAGGGGAGAAGCCCGUCCCUCUCCUCCACCUCGUGCCCCGCUGAAGCAGAUGGCGCUGAAUGGCUCUGCAGUGCCACCGCUCGCCUUUUGAGGACUGCUGCCAUAAGGAGGUGGGUUAGUAGGAGAUUUGGGGUGACAGUGUUUGGCAUGGGCUACAAAGCGAAGACGUUGGGAGGGGGAAAGCACUCGGUGCCCUGGGCUGACACAAAGGCCUUGGGAGUGUACCCCCUGCUGUUAAUGCAGUGAGAAAGGAGCGGAGGAGCAGCCGGGCAGGCAAAGGCAGCCGUCGCCUCACGCCGGGUGACUGACUGAACAAACUCCAUCUUGAGCAGUAAUAACACAGCAUCAGUGGCUCUUGGUGCUGGGCUUGCAGAACUGUAGUAUUAGUGGGCCUAAUGCUAUUUUGUGUUAAAAAUUGCAUUUUUAAUGUGAAGUACUUUUUCUUCCCACAUGUCUGCAGAACUUUUGCUGCGCUUCGGCUCAGUUUCUCAGAGGAACCUGAAAGGAAAUCUGUGUGCUUUGCUUUUUUUUAAGCGGCAUUUGCAAAGAACAGUUUGAGGACCACUUAGUUGAGAGACGUCAGGUCUCCAUAAUGCAUGGCAAAUGCAGAUAAAUGCACAAAGUGGGCUGUUGGUCUUCAGAGUACUUUCCGAAGAUCCUCCAAAUAGUUUUGUCUCUGUAUAUAUAAUAUUUUUUAUCGUUUAUUUGGAUUCUUGUGAUUUUUUUAGGGCUCACUUAUAAUGUUUGAUGGUUUUUCUGAUUCUCUCUGAGCGUUGCAUGCAAAUGAACCUGUGAAUCUUAUAAUUAAAGUGUUUUUCUUCACCGUG